GCCGGGAUGGCGGAAUCGGUAGACGCAGCGGACUCAAAAUCCGCCGGUGGUGACACCGUGAGGGUUCGAGUCCCUCUCCCGGCACCA
rnacentral:tRNA from 1 species